rnacentral:rRNA from 1 species
GACGGAGGAUGCAAGCGUUAUCCGGAAUGAUUGGGCGUAAAGCGCGCGUAGGCGGCCCGGUAAGUCCGUUGUGAAAGUCAAAGGCUCAACCUUUGAACGCCGAUGGAUACUGCCGGGCUAGAGUCCGGAAGAGGCGAGUGGAAUUCCUGGUGUAGCGGUGGAAUGCGCAGAUAUCAGGAGGAACACCAAUAGCGAAGGCAGCUCGCUGGGACGGUACUGACGCUGAGGCGCGAAAGCGUGGGGAGCGAACAGG